rnacentral:rRNA from 1 species
CCUACGGGAGGCAGCAGUGAGGAAUAUUGGUCAAUGGACGCAAGUCUGAACCAGCCAUGCCGCGUGCAGGAUGACGGCCCUAUGAGUUGUAAACUGCUUUUGUACGGGAGUAAACGCAGAUACGCGUACCUGUCUGAAAGUACCGUACGAAUAAGGAUCGGCGAACUCCGUGCCAGCAGCCGCGGUAAUACGGAGGAUUCAAGCGUUAUCCGGAUUUAUUGGGUUUAAAGGGUGCGUAGGCGGUCGGAUAAGUUAGGGGUGAAAUCCCGAGGCUCAACUUCGGAAUUGCCUUUGAUACUGGUAGGCUAGAGAGGAGUUGCGGUAGGCGGAAUGUAUGGUGUAGCGGUGAAAUGCUUAGAGAUCAUACAGAACACCGAUUGCGAAGGCAGCUUAC